ensembl:lncRNA
AUGUUGAUGCUGAUGGUCUUCCUCUGGGGGUUCCUCACCUUCGUCACCCCUUCCCAGAGGGGGUUCUCCGUCGGUGCUCCACGGGGGGGCGCUUCCUUCUCGACGGCGUUCGGUUUACCCCCGCGUUCUCGCUCCUGUGCGAGGAGUCGAGGUGCCGGCCGUCCAGAGGAACGUCCUUCCUCAGGGACUCGCUGCUCCUCUCCUCUGCCUGUCUCUUUUUCCUCCCCGACCUGGAGUGAUCCGGGCGUGGCUCGCCAUGCUUUGGUCUGCCCGCCUCUGGAGCGCGGCUGGGCUCUGUGGACACUCCCUCAUCGCCUGGAUGUCUCUGGCCCUCCCUCCCCCCAUCGGCUCUCUGGCCCUCCCUCCCCCCAUCGGCUCUCUGGCCCUCCCUCCCUCCAUCGCCUCUCUGGCCCUCCCUCCCCCCAUCGGCUCUCUGGCCCUCCCUCCCCCCAUCGGCUCUCUGGCCCUCCCUCCCUCCAUCGCCUCUCUGGCCCUCCCUCCCCCCAUCGGCUCUCUGGCCCUCCCUCCCCCCAUCGCCUCUCUGGCCCUCCCUCCCUCCAUCGCCUCUCUGGCCCUCCCUCCCCCCAUCGGCUCUCUGGCCCUCCCUUCCGCCGUCGGCCCUCAGCGUCCCAGCGUAGGGUCGGUCCCAGGCCUCGUCCCCUGGCUCCGCCCGGCUGCAGACCCCCGGGUUGUGUAGCGGGGUACCCGGGCUGUCAUGGUUGCUCCCCCCGUCCCAGCGGCCGCGACCGGACGAGGAGGAGAAGGAGGCGCCCAGAGGCGGGGCCUCCUCCGCCCCGCCCCCGUCCGCCCGCUCCCUCUCGCUCCGCCUCCUCUUCUUCUUCUUGUGCGUCGGGUCGUCGGGACCCCUGGAGGCCGGCGCGCGGGGGGCCGGCUCCCUGUCCUCGGCCUCCUCCCGGUACGACGCCUGGUGCCCGAACAUCUCCGAGCACCUCUGCUGGUAGGUCAGCGAGCCCGAGUCCUCGUCGCUGCCCGGGGAGGGGCUGCGGUUGGGCGACCGUCGGGGGGGGGAGCGGCUCCUCUUGGCGGGGAGCCGGCCGGGGCGGUGGUUGGGCGCCGGGCGGCCGCAGGCGGGGCGGGGCGUGGGCAGGAGGGGCGGCGGCUGGAGGUGGUGGGGCGUCCCGGUGUAGUUGCCAAAGUACUUGUCGUACCACUGCAGGUACUCCGUCUCCCACUGGCGGAAGCGCUGGGCGUCGCAGCCCGCGAGUUGCGGGUGGCGGUCGCAGGCCGGCGAGCCCCGCCGCCCUGGGUCGCCGUGGUGAUCGUGGUGACUCCCGGCGCGGCGGCGGUGGUGGCGGCAGCGCGACGCCUUCCGCCGGGACCCCCGGGACCGAGAGCGGGACCUGGACCGCGUCUGGGGGCUCCUCCGGCGGCGGGACGGGGAGGACGAGGGCGGCGUCGGGGAGCGGGACCGCUUGUAGCCGUGGUGAUGGGAGCGGUCGCCGUGGCGACGGGCGGAGCUCCGUCUGUGGCGUGGGCGGGACCUUGAUCUGGAGACGAAAGGAAAGGACGUCAUUGGCUGAGGAUCCUCCGUUUGGCCCGUUUAUCUGCACCUAG